GUAGGGGGCCAGCGUUGUUCGGAAUUACUGGGUGUAAAGGGUUCGUAGGCGGUGCGGCAAGUCGGGAGUGAAAUCUCUGGGCUCAACCCAGAGACUGCUUCCGAAACUGCUGUGCUUGAGUGUGGGAGAGGCGCGUGGAAUUGCAGGUGUAGCGGUGAAAUGCGUAGAUAUCUGCAGGAACACCCGUGGCGAAAGCGGCGCGCUGGACCACUACUGACGCUGAAGAACGAAAGCUAGGGGAGCAAACAGGAUUAGAUACCCUGGUAGUCCUAGCCCUAAACGAUCAGGACUUGGGGUGCCACCCGUUCGGGUGGCGUCCCGGAGCUAGCGCGUUAAGUCCUGCACCUGGGGAGUACGGUCGCAAGACUG
rnacentral:rRNA from 1 species